AGAAACUUGACGAAUGUACAGCUACUAAAUGCCGAGACACCUACCAAUAGUCGAGUCUACAAAGGUACCUCGACCUAGUUACCAGCUGCCUCAUAAUCUGAAAACAUGAAGUUGAAAGCGGUGAGCAUAAACUCAGUGAGUGAACAAGAAAGGAAACAAGCAUACCAUAAGGAAUGUUUAACGAAAUCAUGAUGCAUUCAUUUUCUCAAAACAAUGCAAUUGUUUUGGCUCUUUUAAACCCCUCAUGUAAACCCCACAUGAG
rnacentral:lncRNA from 1 species